GUAUGUUAAAUUCUUAAACCGGUUAAGGCAUUGGAUUGCUAAUCCAAUAGGGUUUCCCUGCGUGGGUUCGUAUCCCAUCCUCGUCGCCA